AAUUGAAGAAACACAGGUCCUGUACUGUAAGUAUGACCAAGAACCUGUAGUUGCACAGGACCAUUGGGAAACCCAAUAUGAUUUUGCUAAAUGAAUGUAUUACAAACUGUCUUCUAAACUCAAAAGUCUCUACUCAUAGGGAAAGGAGCUCUCAGACAGCUUCAGAGAAGUUGUUUUGUACAGUGAUUGGUGGCUAAUGCAGAAACUCCCAUCUGGUUAGACUGCACAAGCUGCCUCUGCUGCCAAAAUAAAUUAGCAAACUGUUUACAAAAGUGAUCAGACUGGAGAAUCUGGGAGUGGAGUCUGGACGGAAUAAAUGAGAAGAAGAGGAGAGAGAAGAGUGGAGCAAUCCAACUUGAUUUACUGAAAACCAGGCGGAAAAUCAGAAGGAUAUCUGAGGUAGCGCCAGGAAAAGGUGAGCCAAGCCAGACAACAUAUUGUUAGGAGACAGUUGGAAAGAUAACUGUGCUAACAGAGUCAGAAGAUAGUUUGUGACAAGUGAACCAGGGGAAGCUGAGCUGAGCAGAUAGACUAUAACCCUGGUUGUCAUUUGGAGCUGCUAGUGUUGGGGAAAG
rnacentral:lncRNA from 1 species